UACGAAGGGGGGCUAGCGUUGCUCGGAAUCACUGGGCGUAAAGCGCACGUAGGUGGAUCGCUAAGUCAGGGGUGAAAUCCUGGAGCUCAACUCCAGAACUGCCUUUGAUACUGGCAAUCUCGAGUCCGGGAGAGGUGAGUGGAACUGCGAGUGUAGAGGUGAAAUUCGUAGAUAUUCGCAAGAACACCAGUGGCGAAGGCGGCUCACUGGCCCGGUACUGACGCUGAGGUGCGAAAGCGUGGGGAGCAAACAGG
rnacentral:rRNA from 1 species